AGUGGGAUAGCUGGGUUGAAUGGUGGUUCCAUUCCAAGUUUUCUAAGGAAUCUCCAUACUGCUUUCCAGAAUGGUUGCACCAAUUUGCAAUCCCACCAGCAAU
rnacentral:pre_miRNA from 1 species